GCGCUUGCGUGGGGGUCUUCGCCGUGAUCGGUGAAGUGAGAAACACCCUUUGAACCUGUACGGAUCAUGCCGUCGUAGGGAAGCGCCAGCACCUGCUGA
rnacentral:ncRNA from 1 species